ensembl:lncRNA novel transcript
AAAGUGGAAAACUAUCGGCGGUGGCCCAGGCUCGGUGGCUCACUCCUGGAAUCCCAGCACUUUGGGAGGCCAAGGUGGGGGGAUCACGAGGUCAGGGGAUCGAGACCAUCCUGGCUAACAGGUGAAACCCUGUCUCUACUAAAAAUACAAAAAAAUUAGCCAGGCGUGGUGGAGGCGCCUGUAGUCGCAGCUACUCGGGAGGCUGAGGCAGGAGAAUGGCGUGAACCCAGGAGGCGGAGCCUGCAGUGAGCCGAGAUUGCUGCACUGCACUCCAGCCUGGGCGACAGAGGAAGACUCCGUCUCAAAAAAAAAAAAAAAAAAAGAAAGAAAACUACAGGCGGGGACGGCUUCUCGUAACAGAGUAUGCAAGAGGAGGAGACCUGCACAACUGGAUACACCCAGAAAUGUCCCUGGCUCAACAAGCCUUCCAGCAUGACCCUGUGUCUUCCCCCUCCACGCAGAGCACCAGCAACAGUAGUGCAGACCCAGAAACCUCCCUGGCUCAACAAGGCCCCCAGCAUGACCCCAUGGCCUUCCCCUCCACCCAGAGCACCUGUAGCAGUGGUGGAGUCCCAGAAAUGUCCCUGGCUCAACAAGCCUUCCAGUAUCAGCCUGUGGCCUUCUUCUCCACCCAGAGCACCAGCAGCAGUGGUGGAGACCCAGAAACAUCCCAGGCUCAACAAGCCGCCCAGCAUGACCCUGUGGCCUACCCCUAUACCCAGAGCAACAGCAGCAGUGGUGCAGACCCAGAAACCUCUGGCUCACCACCUCCCCAGCAACACCCUGUGGCCUUCUCCACCAAGAGCACCAGUAGCAGUGGCAGAGACCCAGAAAUGUCCCUGACACAGCAACAACCAUCCCAGGAAGCCAGUGUCAUUCAGGCUGGGCAGCCCAAGGCUUUGACUUCAGCCUUGCCAAUAAGGAGGCUGUGACUGCCGCAGGGCUGCCAGGGGAUGCACUUCCAUUGUAUUAAAAUGUUUUUGCCUGUGUCCACCGCCGAAAAGGAGGAAUAAGAUGACCCCAACAUAGUUGCACGGCUGAAGACAAAAAUCAAGUUGGUGGGGUCAAUAUUGUUACCAUAGUCACUACACUUAGAGUAGUUUUAUAGUCAGUGUAGACAGGUGGCACCAUGCAGCAGGGAUCAGCCUCCACCACACCUGACCAGGAGCUCCAGAACUGUAAAAUCCUGGACACCAUUGGCCGUGGCACGUUCAGUGAGGUCCAGGAUCACAUGCUGAUUGGGACCCAAAUGGCCAUCAAAAUCAUCCCCAAGGCUGGCUCCCUUGGCAUCACUCUCCAGAGAGUGAUAAGUAUUUUAAAGUUACUCUGUCACUUCAAUAUUGUACGGUUGUAUCAAGUGAUUGACACCCCCAACACCAGUUAUUUAUUUAGUAACGGAGUAUGCAAGAGGAGGACACCCACGCAACCAAUACACCACCAUGGCCUCAUGAGGGAGGAGAAGGCCUAGACCAUGUUCAGGCAGAUUCUGUCGGCCAUGCAGUAGUGCCAUAGCAAAUUGCGCAGAGACCUGAACCCAGAAAACAUCAUCCUUGAUGAGGACGGUAACGUUAAGAUCGCAGACUUCGGCUUUGGUACCACAUUCCAUGAUGGGCAGAAGCUGACAGCCCUUUGUAGCACUUAACCCCUACAUGGCCCUGGAACGUUUCCUAGGCCAGGGCUACCAAUGUGCCACCAUGGAUAUUCAGAGCCUCAGAGUAAUUUUAUACCACAUGGUGGCUGGGGUUCUGCCCUUCUGCUCAUGCAGCAUUAGGGUCCUCUCAGCAAAAAUUUAAAGUGGAAGCUAUUUUUCCCCAGUCUACUUUUCCUGAGGUCUUAAAAGCCUCAUUAAAAAACUAUUAACAGUAGACCCCAGGGAGCAGACCACACUAGAAGAAGUUAUGAGGGACCCGUGGGUGAACAGUGGUCAGGAGUUGCCUCUGACAACAUGAAGAACAAAUCCUGGACCACCUGAAUCCCAAAACAACCCAGCUUUUGGUGGCCAUGGGAUUCCAGGCUGAGAACCUAUCUGUGGCAAUCAAAGAAAAAUUAUUCAGUUAUCCCAUGGCCACCUACCUUGUUUUGGAACAAACAAAACAGAAGAAGCGGUCCACUAUCAGACCACAGACCCUUCCUCCUGGGGAUCCCACUUGUCCUCUCUACAUUGAAGUUUCCACCUUCCCUCUUUCACUGAAGCGGGCUCAUAGCAUUCAGCAGAAGACUGUGGGUGCCAAGUCUGGGCAGGGCCUUUGCCCUUGGGAGUCCUGUUUUAGACCCAGCUCCACCACGUGGCCCUGGCCUCUUCUCUGCCCUGUCUGUGCUUGCAGCCAUGGUGCCCAGUCUGGCCCCACCAGGAGACACCAGAACGACUGUCCAUGUGUCUACUCCUUGGCACCUUCCCCGCAUGGUGGGUAGAUGGGCAGGGAGGGGUGGGAAUCUGUGUAACCGUGGAAGGGAACGGCCCUCAGACCCAGAGGGUUUGGAGCCUGGGGUAUUGUCACCGACAGUGGCCUUAGCCUAGCUAGCACAGUUAGUGCUGUGCAUCACAGCAUAGCUUUUAGAGGCAGGAUUUGUAGUCAGUAUAGUUGGGAGGCACCAUGGAGCAGGGAUCACCCUCCACCUCACUUGACAAGGAGAUACAAAACUAUCAGUUCAUAGACACCAUCUGAUAGGGAACUGGCUCAGCAUAGGCCAACUGGGACCCAGGUUGCCAUCUUGAAGACUUUCCAUCACCCAAAUAUCAUUCAGCUCUUCCAGGUGGUGAGGGAGUAAACCAGAGGAGGAGAGUUGCACCACCAGAUAUACCACUAUGGCCACAUCGAGGAGGAAGAGGAGGCCCGGACCAUGUUCAGGCAGAUUCUGUCAGCCCUGCAGUACUGCCACUU